rnacentral:rRNA from 1 species
AUUGAACGCUGGCGGCAUGCUUUACACAUGCAAGUCGAACGGUAACAGGUUAAGCUGACGAGUGGCGAACGGGUGAGUAAUGCAUCGGAACGUGCCCGAUCGUGGGGAAUAACGCAGCGAAAGCUGCGCUAAUACCGCAUACGAUCUGAGGAUGAAAGCGGGGGACCGUAAGGCCUCGCGCGAUCGGAGCGGCCGAUGUCAGAUUAGGUAGUUGGUGGGGUAAAGGCUCGCCAAGCCAACGAUCUGUAGCUGGUCUGAGAGGACGACCAGCCACACUGGGACUGGGACACGGCCCAGACUCCUACGGGAGGCAGCAGUGGGGAAUUUUGGACAAUGGGCGAAGGCCUGAUCCAGCAAUGCCGCGUGCAGGAAGAAGGCCUUCGGGUUGUAAACUGCUUUUGUACGGAGCGAAAAAGCUCUCUCUACUACAGGGGGCUCAUGACAGUACCGUAAGAAUAAGCACCGGCUAACUACGUGCCAGCCGCCGCCGUAACAC